rnacentral:tRNA from 1 species
GUCAUCUUGCCAGAGUGGUUAAUGGGAUAGACUUGAAUGACUAUUUCUAAUAGUUCUCAGCCAUCUAUUGUCUUCGGACGCGUAGGUUCAAAUCCUGCAGAUGACG